rnacentral:rRNA from 1 species
GAUGAACGCUGGCGGCGUGCCUAAUACAUGCAAGUCGAGCGAACAGACGAGGAGCUUGCUCCUCUGACGUUAGCGGCGGACGGGUGAGUAACACGUGGAUAACCUACCUAUAAGACUGGGAUAACUUCGGGAAACCGUAGCUAAUACCGGAUAAUAUAUUGAACCGCAUGGUUCAAUAGUGAAAGACGGUUUUGCUGUCACUUAUAGAUGGAUCCGCGCCGCAUUCGUUAGUUGGUAAGGUAACGGCUUACCAAGGCAACGAUGCGUAGCCGACCUGAGAGGGUGAUCGGACACACGGGCACUGAGACACGGUACCGACUCCGAGGGGAGGACGCAGUCGGGAAUCUUACGGAAUGGGGGAAAGCCUGACGGAGCAACGCCGCGUGAGUGAUGAAGGUCUUAGGCUCGUAAAACUCUGUUAUUAGGGAAGAACAAAUGUGUAAGUAACUAUGCACGUAUUGACGGUACCUAAUCAGAAAGCCACGGCUAACUCCGUG